GCAAAUUCUUGUAUGACCCUAGAUUGGUAUCAGCCUUAUCGAUUAACAAGACUUGAAACCUCUAGAACUACUUUCGUCUUAAAGUAUAGUAAUGUUUGUGGUCAUUAAAACCAUAGCACACCAUAAAAUUCAUAAAGUAACCCCCAUAAAAGGAGCUAAAAACCGAAAUGAAAACAUCAAAGACUGAUGUUAUUCUGACACAAGAGAAAUAUCAACAG
rnacentral:lncRNA from 1 species